CCGUUGUAAAAUAUCACCCAAAAUUUUCAUACCCAAAAUUUUCAUACAACUUGAAUUGUUACCAAAAAAAAAGAAAGAAAAGAAAUGGCAAACAGAAAUUAAAAAACACAGAGACUAAUUAUUCUAAAGGGAGGAGGGAGACUCGAGAAAUUCAUGAAUUUGGUCGACGCUCCUUCUUCGCAAUUCAGGAUUCGCAAUCGCAGUCACAUUUCUAGGGUUUACAGUAUCUGCAAUUCGCAAGUGAAGGGUUUAGAAGGACUGCAACAUCACCACGAAAAAGGAAGAGGUCAUCCCAUUCAAACUGUAUUCCCGUACAUCAGAUUCAAAAACUCCCGCAAGGAUAUAGCGUAUUCUAAACUUGCAAACUUAGACCCGCAAUAUGGAUUGUAUUAGAGGAAGAGAGGGACUCAGCUUGAUCAAAUCUAGAGAGAAUGAUUCUGAAUUAACUAAGAGAGUGUUUCUUAGGGUUAAUUGGAUCUGGAGAGCGGGAUUCCCAAUUAACUAGAGUUGGUUUUUUAGGGUUCGAAGUUCGUAAUACGGAAAUCUCAACUCACCGGCAAAGAGUUUUUUUUAGAGUUCAUCGAAUUUCUUGCAAGUUACCGGAUAUAUGGAUUGUUGGAUCUCUUGAUACAAGAGGGGAGACAAGGUAUUGCUUCAUAUUAAGCUAUUCAAGCUUCAAGUUGAGCACUGUACUCGCCAACCCUACAAUCUAACCUCUAAGAAACAUGUAUAGUUCAAUUAACUUCUGAUGAAGGCAUCUGUAAAUUGUUGGUGGAGUCACGCGGCUAUGUCUGCGAGGAGCACACAGUGACAACCAAAGAUGGUUAUAUUCUCAGCUUGCAACGAAUUCCAACAGGCUUGACAAACUAUACACUUGAAGACCGCAAGCCACCAGUGCUUUUGCAACAUGGGGUUUUAAUGAUUGUGAUAUGGUUUACAAUUCCAGCAAUUAAGCUCUCUAAAUCAAGAAGCACCUAUAAUGCACUCCAAUUGAUUUUUUUCUUCUAAUAUAUUCCACGGUUUUAUCUGAUAUUCCCGCUGAGUGCUGAGAUUAUAAAGUCUGCUGGUGUUGUCACGAAAACAGCUUGGGCAGGAGCUGCUUAUAAUCUCAUGUUCUACAUGUUGGCUAGUCAUGAGUAUGGUGAGCUAAAUGGAGAAUAAAAUGUAGAUCUAACAAAUGAGACGGUGGAGGCUCUUGUUUGUUUUUGAGUUAUUUUGUAAUUUAGAGUAAUGUUGAAUUUGUUUAUAUGGAUUUUUAUUUUAUGCAUUUUUUUCAUUAAAAACACUAAAUUAAUUAGUGAACGACUAUUUUGUAAUGCAUGUGUCCUAUGGGCACUAAUAUUGUAAUAUUACUCUUUAAGUCAAUAAAAAUAUUUUAUUAUUGA